CAUUUCUUCUUGAACUCCUCUUUCUCUCGAUCUGUGUACAAUUUCUUUUCUAGUGAUUGUGUCUUCGUAGCAGAAAUCUCACGAAACAAUCACUCUCCAAUGGCGUUGAGCACCGAACUCAGAGCAUCCUCUACUGGUUCUGCUUUCACAUGGAAAUACGACGUGUUUUUGAGCUUCAGAGGCACAGACACCCGCAAGGGCAUCACAGAUCACUUACACAAGGAGUUGGAGCGGCAAGGAAUCAGAACCUUCAGGGACGACCCAAAACUUGAAAGAGGCACACCCAUCUCCCCGGAGCUCCUCUUAGCAAUCGAGCAAUCCAGGUCAGCGAUCGUUGUUCUUUCUCCAAACUAUGCUACUUCCACAUGGUGCUUGCUUGAACUGUGUAAGAUUUUUGAAUGCAUGGAAGAGAGAGGUGCAAUUCUGCCAAUCUUUUAUAAGGUCAACCCGUCUCAUGUGAGAUAUCAAACGGGUAGCUUUGCUAAAGCGUUCAAUAAACAUAAAAAAGAGUUUGAGGAAGACAGCAAGAAGGUGCAAGGGUGGAGAGAUGCUUUAACAAAAGUGGCCAAUCUCGCUGGAUGGACAUCAAAUGAUUAUAGAUAUGAAACAGAUCUAAUCAAAGACGUUCUACUAGCACUGAGGAGCAAAGUGGACACUACUUAUACAAUAUUUGAUUCAUCUGAGAAGUUGGUCGGAAUGAACACUAAGCUGGAGGAAAUGAAUGUUCUUUUAGAUAGAAAAACAAAUGAUGUUCGCUUUAUAGGGAUAUGGGGGAUGGGUGGAAUUGGUAAGACAACCCUUGCUAGACAAGUUUAUGAGAAAAUCUCUCAUCAAUUUGAAGUUUGCAUCUUUGUUGCUAAUGUCAGAGAGGUUUCCACAACCCAUGGCCUUGUUUAUCUACAAAAGCAGAUUAUUUCACAGAUUUUGAAGGAAGAAAAUGUACAAGUAUGGGAUGUUUAUAGUGGAGUCACUAUGAUUAAGAGAUGUUUAUAUAAAAAGGCUGUUCUUCUAGUUCUUGAUGAUGUGGAUCAAGUAGAGCAAAUGGAAAAGUUGGUGGGAGAAGAAGACUGGUUUGGUUUGAGGAGUAGAAUCCUCAUUACAACUAGAUAUCGACAUCUACUAGUCACACAUGGUAUUGAAAUACCAUAUGAGUUGAAGGGAUUAAACGAUGAUGAUGCUCUCAAGCUCUUUAGUUUGAAAGCCUUUAGGAAAUAUGAGCCAGAAGAAGAUUUUGCAGAGCUCUCUAGGUGCUUUGUUAGCUAUGCCAGCGGUCUUCCCUUAGCUCUUAAGACUUUGGGGUCUUUCUUAAAUAAAAGAAGUCCAGAUGCAUGGAUUUCUGCAUUGGAAAAGCUUAGGAACACUCCCAACAGAACAGUUUUUGAUGUGCUGAAAGUAAGUUAUAAUGGACUCGAUGACAAGGAGAAGAAUUUUUUUCUGGACAUCGCAUGUUUUUCGUCGCAAUGUCAAGCCAAGUUUAUAAUUGAACUACUAUACAGUUCUGACAUUUGCACUCGUAUUACAAUAGAUGUUCUUGUUGAGAGAUGUCUCUUAACUGUUUCAGAUGACAAUGAAAUAGGUAUACAUGAUUUGAUACAAGAAAUGGGAUGUGACAUUGUUCGAGAAAAGUCUUGUCAUGAGCCUGGUGGACGCAGUCGGUUGUGGCUUCCCAAAGACAUUUUUCAUGUUUUCACCAAGAAUACGGGAACAGAAGCCGUUGAAGCCAUAUUCUUACACUUGCCUAAAUUAGAAGAGGCGAAUUGGAAUUCUGAAGGUUUCUCUAAAAUGUGUAAACUGAAGAUGCUCUACAUUCAUAAUUUGAGGCUUUCUCAUGGCCCAAAAUAUCUUUCUGAUGCCUUGACAUUUCUGAAUUGGAGCUGGUAUCCUUCAAAAUCUCUCCCACCAAGUUUUCAGCCAGAUGAACUUACUGAACUUAGUUUGGUCCAUAGCAAUGUCAAUCACCUGUGGGAUGAUGAUGAAACUAAAUACUUGGCCAAGUUGAAAUCUAUCGAUCUUAGUUACUCAGUCAAGUUGAGAAAGACCCCAGAUUUCACAGGUAUUCAAAACCUUGAGAAGUUGGUUCUUGAAGGUUGUACAAAUUUAGUUGAUAUUCAUCCAUCCAUUGCAUUUCUCAAGAGGCUCAAAAUUUUGAACCUUAGAAACUGCAAAAGUAUUAAGAGUUUCCCAAGUGAAGUAGAACUGGAAUCUCUUGAAACAUUUGAUGUAUCUGGGUGCUCAAAACUGCAAGUAAUUCCAGAAUUUUUGGGGCAGAUGAAUAGAUUAUCAAAGCUUUCUUUGAGUGGGACUGCUGUUAAGAAACUUCCUCCAUCAUAUGAGCACUUGAGUGAGAGUUUGGUGGAGCUUGAUUUGUGUGGAAUUGUUAUAAGAGAGCUGCCAUCCUCCCCCUUUCUUAAGCAGUAUCUCAGAUUAUUAUCUUUUGGCGUAUUUCCAAGAAAUAGUCUUCACCCUUUGAGUCCUCUAUUAUCUUCUUUGAAGCAUCUGACUUCUUUGACGACAUUAAAGCUGAAAAACUGUAAUCUUGGUGAAGGAGCAAUUCCAGAUGAUAUUGGUUCUCUGUCCUCCUUAGAGAAGUUGGACCUCAGAGGAAACAAUUUUGUUACCCUUCCUGCAAGCAUUCAUUUGCUUUUGAAGCUCAAAGAAAUUGUUGUGGAGAAUUGCAAAAGGCUACAACAACUGCCAGGCCUUCCAUCAACCGAGGGACUAGAGGUAAGAAUGGACAAUUGUACUUCUUUACAAGUGUUCCCAGAUCUACCAGCUUCGUGCAGCUUAUUGGAAUUUCAGCUCAGUUGCAUCAAUUGCUUGAACACGGUUGGUGAUCAAGAUUGUUGUUAUUUCAUAUAUUCAGUGCUAAAACGGUUGCUUGAGGUAAUCUCUUCUCUCCGACUUCCUUUCUCCCUUCUCUCCUUCAAUUGUUGUGUGAUAUGAUGGUUUCUGUGGUGCAGGGAACCCCUUGUUCUUUUGAGGAAUUCAGUUUUGUAAUUCCUGGAGGUGAAAUUGUUGAGUGGUUUAGUAAUCAAAGUGUAGGAGACUCUGUAGCUAUGAAGUUACCUUCAUAUGCAAGUAAUAGCUACAAGUGGAUUGGGGUUGCUGUAUGUGCUCUAUUUGUACCUCAAGACAAUCCGUCUGCGGUUCCUGAAGACGAUUAUUUAGAUUCUGAUAAAAAUAAAAUCAUAUGUACAUGGGAUGGUUCUAAAGUGUUGUCAGGUUUUGGUUCCGUUGUAACCCAAAUUGUUUCAGAUCACCUUUUCAUAGUUGUUUUAUCCAGUCAUCUCUGGAGACCUAGGAACUCUCUUGAGGACACAUGCAAUGAGGUGAAGUUCGCUUUCGAAACCACUCAAGCUGUAGGAAACAAGAGAUGCAUAAAGGUGAAGCAAUGUGCAGUCCGUGCACUGUACGAGCAUGAUAUGGAAGAGCUGAGCCGCAAUUCUGUUUACAUGGAAGAUACGGUGGAUUGUGGCUUUGAGAAAUCAGAAUAUGAACAAGGUGGUGGCAUCAUUAAGGGAACACCGGAGGCAGCACCGAGCACAAGUGGUGGAUGUGAGGAUGAGUACUACUCUGCUGAAGAGUGAAGAAACUUUAACAAACCGUCUUGCUUUAAAAGUUAAAACAUCCUGUGCCUCUACAAUGAUGGUUCUUCGAACUUCGAAGUAUAUAGAACCAGAUACUAGUGCGUCUGAUGUAGUUCGCUGCUAAGACACCUCUGUCUCUCUCUCUAGCUUGUCUUAUGUUUUGAAUGUAACGAAAAGAAAAUUAUGAAAUGAGUUGGAUGUAUUUUUGAUGUC